rnacentral:lncRNA from 1 species
AUAGGAAAACGGUGGAGGCCGUGCUGGCUGCGGCCCGGGGAAGAAGGCUGCGUGAGACCAGCAGCGCAGGACCCUGACAGUCCUGACCUCAGUGCCUCCUUCAGCCCACUUCGUGUACGGGUCUGGGUGGAGGAGGAGGCGCUUCAGACCUUGAGGUGGGCACUCGGGACUGCUCUCUGAUUUGAUUCUAGAUUGGAGGGUGUGGGCAGGAAUCAGGUCCCAUGGGGCUGGGGAUCCAAUCUGGUGAGGAGUUGAGGGGUCGCUGGGGUAGGAAAACAUACCUGAGACCCCAGUGGAGGGUGUGAGCAGGACAUUCCCUCGCCCCAUGAGCUGACUGGCCCCCUUUCGACCUGGGCCUCCCAGGGCCCUGUCCUGGUCUCCAAGACCAGGGCCUUCGGCUUCUCAGCAUUGCUGUCCAGAAAAGGCGGGAACAAGGACAAAGUCAAGCCCGAUGUGAAGCAGAGGUGGCAACACCUAAAACUGGCAUCCCAUGGGGGCAGAAAAUGUGGAGAGAGUGUCUCAGAGGCCUUCUGGGGUGAAUCCAAGCCCAAAAGGGAUAUCCAGGCAUGCUGGCGAGGGCCACUGAGGAUACCCCCAAGAAAGCGAAGCACAAGCAAAGCACACCUGAAACCAUAGGAGGGCCUGUGCCGGAGUCCAAGCCUCCUCCAGGGAUUCCUGCCAGAGGAGCCAAGAGGAUCCUGCAAAGUGAUCCAGCACCCACACCGGGAUCACAACCCACCACCGGGUCUACACCCAGCUAACCCCCAGUCCCUUUUGCUCCGUGAAAUCCCUGGCAACGAAAAGGUGCAGUGCUGAGAGGCAGUCCCAGCCAGGAACAGAGCAAUGGGAGACCCCUCAACAAUGAGAAAACACCAGCAGAUGAGAUGAAACAUAGCCUUCAUUAGAAGGCAAAGGCCAGCUACGGCUGGCUACCUCUCAUUCUAUGUGAAUCAUGCAGCCAUCUGAUGCAAUGGGGAGACCAAGAGUUUCCUUAUUGGGGAAAGCUACGGGCACCCACGGUUCCAAGAGCAUCACAGCUACCCAGUCAUUAAGAAAUGUGAGUGUUGAGAAGGAAACACUCAUCACCUACGUCCCCGCCAAGGUGGUCCUGGACGAACUGGGAAACAUUUGCUGUGAAGGACGUUCUGGAGGACUGUGAGCCAGACCAAGGAAAACCUGGGCCGACGAGAAUCAGGGAAGGCAAGAAAAGAGGGAGAACAGAGUAGAGGCCGCAGCCCAGGCAGGAUCAAUCCAUCCCACUCCCAUGUGCCUCGGGGAACCAGGGUCCAACAGGGGACCUGGCCAGAAAGGCGACAGUCUUCGGUCCAAAGGUUCUCCGAACACUCGUGUCUUCUAUCGCCAGCACAGCGCCAUGGUGUGGACAGGUUGUACAGUGAAGAGGAAAAGGGGAUGGCGUUGGAAACAGUUUCUUUGACAUCUGUCUGCACCUGUUCUGCAGGUGAAGGUGCGAGACCUCCUCCACACCUCAGCGGAUUGUAUCUUCACCCCCAUCUGACCUUUUUUCUGCACACAUCCUUUAAUCCAGAAUGAAAUCUGAAGAGGAUGAAGGAGUGCCCGCCUCAGGUCCUGAAGCUGCGACUCCGCCAGCCACCGAAUUAGAAGUGGGCUCAAGGGGGUACUGAGGACAGGACAGCUAGGGUCCGUCCAGCCUUGGGUGUGCCGCAGGACCAUGGGCCCCUGGAGGAAUUUGUUCUUGGUUGUCGUGUGCUGGUCUUCUUUCUGGAAGAGUGGGCGGCUUGGGAGGGGAGGUGAUUUGGACGUUUGCGGGUCGCAGCCAGCCCCCCACUUCACCGAGGCUUUAGGAACCAAGAGCGAAACAAAGAACGCUUGCCCCGCAACCCAAGCCCGGCCAAAGAGACGGGCGCAUCAGAGCGUAGGCGAACUACAGAGAAACCGCGCUUCACUGCACGAGCCACAUUUCUUUCACCGCACACCACACACACACUCACACGCACACACAGAAAGACACACGGAAACAUCCAACAGUCGCACAGAAACACACACAGCCAGGCAGCUCCUGAGGCUGCGCGGUUCUGCUCUCUGCCAGGAAACCCCUCCGGAAAGAGAGCGCCCCGGGGAACACAGGCAGGCCGUACCUCGAAAUCCCAGCGGGGACACCUGUCAGGGAGACGCACCCUCACACCGCCCAUGCAUGCCCGACGCAUCUUUGGGAUCCUUAGGGAUCACGUGGUGCUUCCUUGAAUCUCCGCUUGAGGUUUCUUCAGGCAGGUUCGGCCUUGCCCGACUCCUAGGAUCGCAGGACCAUGGCGACGAUCCCGCGGAGAGGGGACGCACUGCCACAGACGCCUGGGGGCCAAGCCGCUGGGGCCAGUCCCCCGGCAACGGUGGCGGUUACUGUGACGCGAGUCCCCCCUCAGCGCUAGCGCCUGGUGAUCGCGCCUGGUACGUGCACUUUCGCGUUCCCGGUUUGUGGGCCGCAUUGUCAGGGCUCUCAGGCUGCAGCCCAAUAGGAAAACAGUGGAGGCCGUGCAGGCGGCGGUUCGGGGAAGGAGACUGCAUGCGACAAGCAGCGCAGGACCCUGACUGUCGUGACCUCAGUGCCUCCUUGAGCCGACCUCGUGUUUGGGUCCGGGUGUAGGAGGAGGUGCUUCAGACCGUGAGGUGGGCACUCGGGAUUGCUCUUCUGAUUUGAUUCUGGACUGGAAUCAAAUUGGAAUUGACCCGGAAUUGGGUCCCACGGGGCUGGGGAACCAAUCUGGUGAGGUGUGGAGGGGUCGCUGGUGCACAGAAACAUACCGGAUACCCUCGGGGUGGGUGUCAGCAGAACAUUCCUCGGCUCCAUGAGCUGACUGCCUCCCUUUGAUCUGGGCCUCCCAGGGCUCUUCCUGCGUCUCCAAGCUCAGGGGCUCCUGCUUCUCAGCACUGCUGUCUGGAAAAGGCGGGAACGAGGACUAAGGCAAGCCCAGUGUGGGGCAGAGAUGGCAACACCUGGAACUAGCUUUUCAUGGGGGCAGAUAAUGUGGAGAGUGUCCCAAUUACAUCUCCCUUUAUUCUAUCCCAUACUACUAAACCCCACCAGCUAUUUGCCUACAAACUGUGUAUCAGUCAGGACAUCAGGACACCAAGAUAAAGGACUAGAGUUUGGUAAUCAACUACUGGCUCCUCCAGCAGCUCAGAAUGUGGCCUGUAUGCAUCACUUCACUUAAUUCAUUCAAGAAAUGCUGACUGAGUUCCUGCUGUGUGUUGGACACUUUCUUAGAAGUGGGACACACUGCAGUGUGUGGGACAAAGGCUGGGCCGCUCAUUGCUUAUGUUCUAGUUGAAGAGAGAGUCAAUCAACAACAUUCUACUUUCAGACAUUGAUAAAUGCUGUCAUGAAAAGACAAGGAACAUGAAAAGGCUGGAUGGCACGAUCUUGGCUCACCGCAACCUCUACCUCCUGGGUACAAGCAAUUCUCCUGCCUCAUGCCU